rnacentral:rRNA from 1 species
AGCGAACGCUGGCGGCAGGCCUAACACAUGCAAGUCGAGCGCCCAGCAAUGGGAGCGGCAGACGGGAUAGUAGCACGUGGGAACGUACCUUUCAGUUCGGAACAACCCAGGGAAACUUGGGCUAAUACCGAAUACGUCCGUAAGGAGAAAGAUUUAUCGCUGAAAGAUCGGCCCGCGUCUGAUCAGCUAGUUGGUGAGGUAAUGGCUCACCAAGGCGACGAUCAGAGCUGGUCUGAGAGGAUGAUCAGCAUCACUGGGACUGAGACACGGCCCAGACUCCUACGGGAGGCAGCAGUGGGGAAUAUUGGACAAUGGGCGCAAGCCUGAUCCAGCCAUGCCGCGUGGAUGAUGAAGGCC